rnacentral:rRNA from 1 species
UUACGGGAGGCAGCAGUGGGGAAUUUUGGACAAUGGGGGCAACCCUGAUCCAGCCAUGCCGCGUGAGUGAAGAAGGCCUUCGGGUUGUAAAGCUCUUUCGGCGGGGACGAAACGGUUCGUGACAACACCACGGACUAAUGACGGUACCCGCAGAAGAAGCACCGGCUAACUACGUGCCAGCAGCCGCGGUAAUACGUAGGGUGCAGGCGUUAAUCGGAAUUACUGGGCGUAAAGCGUGCGUAGGCGGUUUGUUAAGACAGGUGUGAAAUCCCCGGGCUUAACCUGGGAACUGCGCUUGUUACUGGCAGACUGGAGUGUGGCAGAGGGGGGUGGAAUUCCACGUGUAGCAGUGAAAUGCGUAGAUAUGUGGAGGAACACCGAUGGCGAAGGCAGCCCCCUGGGCUAACACUGACGCUGAUGCACGAAAGCGUGGGGAGCAAACAGGAUUAGAUACCCUGGU